GCCGGCGUAGCUCAGUGGUAGAGCAAUGGUUUCGUAAACCAUCGGUCGGAGGUUCGACUCCUCUCGCCGGCU
rnacentral:tRNA from 1 species